UUUUGCGCUUCCUGAUGCGAGUGUUCAUUAACCUUCUCCUCUCUUAUGUUUACCUUAUCGAGAUGCCUCUUCGACACUUCGCCCUUUCAUCUGUACGAUUCACACUCAUGUGAAGACGCCUCUUCAUCCUUACGAAUCAUACCCGUUUUAUCCACUGCGCCUCCUCUUAGUCUCUUCCUUUCACUCUGUCCGCGAAUCUCACAGCCCAUUGUGGUCUCACGCAUAAAGGAUUUUCUAUUAGGGCGCAGAAGAGGUGUAUGUUAUGGUGUUCAGCAACAGUGCUCUUCAUAACCUGAGCCAGUUGAGUCCUGGGCUCUACUUUCUUCCAUCUGCUCAUUACAUUUUAAAUAGAAGCUUUUCUCUUUGGUCAAUGAAAAAGGAGCCAGAUCUGGAAUCCGCCCUCUCACGUAACCGUAGAUGGAUAGCCAAUAAUCAGAUAAAAAACAUGAUACUUAGGUGCCCAAAUCAAGUGGCAUCUGUUAAGCAUCUCCAAAAGAAGUUCAAAACCAUGGAUCUUCAAGGGAAGGCACUCAAUUGGCUUAAGAAAUAUCCUUGUUGCUUUGAAGUAUUUCUUGAGAACGAUGAGUACUAUUUUCGAUUAACGAAGCGGAUGAUGUGUUUGGUUGAAGAAGAGGAAUCUGUGAAAGAUAUGCAAGAGCCAGUGUUUGCAGAGCGUCUUGCAAAGCUUUUGAUGAUGAGUACAAAUCAAAGUCUUAAUGUUGUCAAACUUAAUGAGCUAAAGCGGAAUUUUGGGUUCCCGGAUGAUUAUUUGAUUAGAAUCUUACCGAAGUACCCAGACAUGUUUCGACUGGUCAAUCAUAGUGGAAGAAAGAGUGCAAUGGAGAUUGAGCUUGUGGCGUGGAACCCCGACCUAGCAGUUUCUGCAAUUGAAGCCUCAGCUCGAAAGCAGGGCGUUAAGCCACGCUUUUCCUGUUUUUUGCCCUCGAGUUGGGUUAAAUCACAGGAGAGAUUUCAUGAAUUUAAUUCCAGUCCUUACAUUUCACCUUAUUGGGGUCUAGCGGGUUUAGAAGAAGGAUCAAGGGAGAUGGAGAAGCGAGUAGUGUGUUUGGUGCAUGAGUUGUUGUCGCUGACAUUAUGGAAGAAGGUCUCAAUUGUGAAACUAGGACACUUUAAGAGGGAGUUUGGUUUACCCGAGAAACUGAAUGUUUUGUUGCUCAAACAUCCUGGUAUAUUCUAUGUUUCAAAUAAGUAUCAGAUUUACACCGUUCUGCUUAGAGAGGGUUAUAAUGGGCCAGAAUUGAUAGAUAAGGAUCCACUAGUUCUGGCGAAGGAUAAGUUUGGGGAACUAAUGCAAGAGGGACUGCAUGAAUACAAUAAGAGGCAUCAUCUACUGAAUUUAGAAAAGAAAAGGAAGAAAGGCAUGGUUUUGGGAAGAUCAGAGAAAGUUAAAUAUGGAAGGAUGGAAACAUCUGAUCAAGAUGAUAGCAGUGAUAAAGUUGGUGGCCUGUUUGACCCAGAAGAAAGAAAACGGUUUUAUAAAGUCCUCUUUGAUGAUGGCAAGAGCCCCUAGUCUUAAUCGGAGGUAUCCUUUUCAUUUUCACAUUAAUGUGCUUUUAGCUACAUAGAUUGAUGCUUCUACGUCUAUUUUCCCCCUCAUUCAUGUCUGAUGCAUAUUCAGUUUUUCGACUUAAUUCCUGAAAUUCCAUCACCCAUUUACAAUGAAGAUGACGAUGGUUUCCUAAAUAGCUGGAGGUCGAUGUAUUGAUUCUCAAUUUCCCCUUCUCUAAGGCCAGGAUGGACGCUUUUUUGUUUAACGGAUCUUUUUAAUAUGUAAUCAAUAAUAUGAAUGUAGAAAUAUGUGGUGUUAAUUUACAAUGGCUUGAAUUACCACUCCUCUAAGAAAGAUUUGAUUGAAAUACGUUCUUGAAAGAUAUUGGGCUUUGAAGAAGUUGAGGAGGUGAGCAACACUUCCAACGGCUGUUUUUAGGAAAAGUCAGGAAAAAGUUCAAAGGAGGACUUUCUCUGAAACUCAUCAUUGUACAGAAGGAAUGUCAGCACAUACAACUGUCUAUCUUCUGGAUCAUCUUGCUGAAAAUCGAUAUGUGAAAGAUUGUGAAACAAAUUUGGCCGAGUUAUCCAAUUGAGACCAAAGCAUUGUGUUCCAUUAUAGAUUUAGUUAUGAGGCAAGAAUAUCAAAUGGUAUUCAACCUUGGUUUGGGGAAGGAAACUGGUAUAUAAAAUUAAGCAGAGAUGGCUGGCUUUAGGGAGUUGAAGCAAAAUUCAGUUUUCAUGUCUGCAGGGCUGCUGAAGUGCUGAUAUCGAGGGAGUAAUUCCGGAAACUGUGUCAUUGGACGACAUUUUGAAGUUCUUAUUGUACUGAACUGGAGUUUGGAGUGAGAAAUAAGGCUGCCUUCAAGCUUUGAAGCCUUCAGUAAUGGUGAUGUGAACUGCAAUCAGUAUGCCAUGGCUACCCAAUUCUGAUCAUUAACCAAGAGGAUUAAACGAGAAACAAGAAAAAACAGAAGAACACAAACACUCAAAACGGCCAUCACCAGAUCCCGGAUGACACUGUAUUGCAGACACCGUAUUACACAGGACAUUAUCUAGAAAUGGUUUAAUUCUCCAAUUAACGAAUUUUGUAACUUGUCCGUCUAUGAAAACAAAGUUUCUUAGAUCUUAG